GAUGAAGAACGUAGCGAAAUGCGAUAAGUAAUGUGAAUUGCAGAAUUCAGUGAAUCAUCGAAUCUUUGAACGCACAUUGCGCCCGCCAGUAUUCUGGCGGGCAUGCCUGUUCGAGCGUCAUUUCAACCCUCAGGCCCCCAGUGCCUGGUGUUGGGGAUCGGCCCAGCCUUCCUGUAAGGCCGCCGGCCCCGAAAUCUAGUGGCGGUCUCGCUGUAGUCCUCCUCUGCGUAGUAGCACAACCUCGCAGUUGGAACGCGGCGGUGGCCAUGCCGUUAAACACCCCACUUCUGAAAGUUGACCUCGGAUCAGGUAGGAAUACCCGCUGAACUUAAGCAUAUCAAUAAGCGGA
rnacentral:misc_RNA from 1 species